rnacentral:ncRNA from 2 species
AGUAAAUUGAAUCUUUUCUCUCGUAUAUCAUCGGAAAUAUGGUCCGAAAGUCUCUACCUACUCACCGUAAAUGAGUAGACUACGGGUUUUAUCAGUUAUUAA